GUGGAGGAACACAACGUCUUUUUCCCAUCCUGAUUCAGUGCUCGAGGUCUGGAAUGCUGCAGAACUCUAACCAAAAAGAGAACAGCUUAUGAUCACCGUGGAUGGAGGCAGGCAACAAGCAGCUCCCUCCUGCCCAGGACUCCUCAGGGCAGAAGGAAGGGUGGGGUGGCAGCCAGCAUGAAGCUGGAUGAGGACAUCUGAAGACUGACUGGAAGAUUGCACUUGACCUAACAGACUCUUCAUCAGCCCCAGUAGAUAGUUGUAUGUCAUAGCUGCACAUCCUUCCAGUUGCUGCAUGUGGGACGCAGCCCCAGCAA